UUCAAAGAGAAACAAAACCUUGCCUUUGAGUUAUUCUAUGGCUAGCUCUCUAAGAACAUGGUAUCAACAACUGUCGACAUCCUUAGUCCUUACCACCUUGUUUUAUGCAACUAUCAUCUCUUGUUCAAAACCUGACAACCUUAAUUACAGUGAUCACUGUGCCUCGUUUGUCCCUGAAUCAACCCCUAUUGAUCCUGAAGCCAUCACUGUCCCUUUUUCUCCAAACCAGGAUGGCUACUAUCUUGGUGGGGAUGACAUAUUGAAACAUGCAAAUUCUUCUCGCCACUAUUACUCCUCAAAUCCCAGGAAAGUUUUGUUGUUCCGUACCCAUGAUGUCCAUAGUACUAGUGUUGAUGGUCUCUACAAGGUCAAGGCGAGUUUGAUCCUCCAACCAUCACGCGUCACAUACGGUUACCCGGAUUCUCCCCAGGUCGUUUCUCUUUGGUCUCAGACGGGUGCUUUAAGUUUUGAGAUAGAAGGAUUCUGGUCAAUAUCUACUGGGAAGCUUUGCAUGGUUGGCUCAAGUUCUACUUACUCAGAAGAAGGUGAAAUUCGUGGUCUUUCUGCUCUUCUCAAGCUUAAUGAUGUUAAAAGUUCGAGCAAUAUUACAAGUUUGGUUCAGGGAACAUUGGAGAGCUUGAGUUCUGCUGAUGACUCGAGUUUUUUUGAGCCAAUAUCUUUGUUGAUGUUUCCUCUAAAGAAUUAUGCCUACACUGAGGCUGGUAAAGAAAUUGAUAAGGGAUUUACUUAUGGGGCUGAUGUUACAAAGAGUUCGCUCAGCUUACCGUUGAGUGUUUCUAUUUGUUCAAUAUUCUCACACCAGACCAGUUCAUUUCUGCUGGAGUAUGCAACUGCUUGCAAUUCUACAAAGAGUUGCAAUCCUUUUAGCAGCAAUAUCGAAUAUUUGCCUCCAGUCAUGUCCUUGACGCCGAUCCAAUGUUCAAAUGAUUGGCCAACUCUAAGAUUUCUGGUCGAGUUUCUUAACAGUAGCUACUCAAGUUAUUACCGCCCCUUCAAUCCGAACACAGCACUAGUCGCAGAAGGAUCAUGGAAUGCAAAGAAGAAAAAAUUAUGUGUUGUUGCUUGUCGAAUCUCAACUCCAACAAAUUCUUUAAGCGGUUCUCAAGUUGAGGAUUGUUCAAUUAGGUUGAGUUUGAGAUUCCCUUCUGUUUGGUCAAUCAGAAAUGCUAGUAGCAUUGCAGGACAUAUUUCAAGCAAUAAGGCUGUGGGGAUUUCAGGUUACUUUGAUGGGAUUCAAUUUCGCAGUUAUGGAAGUGAUAGAAUUGAGAUUCCAGGGUUGAAGUAUGAGUAUUCACUGGUGGACAAAGCAAGAAAGUCAUACAAGGAGGAGCCCGGUAGAAGUGAAGGAAGGCAGUAUUCAGACGGGAAUUCAGAUGACAUGCAAUUUGAAAUGUCAAUCAAGAAUUCCAGAGGAAAAAGAUUUGGAUGGGGCCAUGCGAAUCCUAUCUCUAUUGGUGAUAAAAUUGCUCCAAGGAACCAAUAUUUCAGGCCAUAUUCAAGUCCAGGAACAGAAAAGGCAAAGGAUAAAGCAAAGCCACUCCAGCCACUGAACAUCAGUUACCAAAUGAGCUUGACAUCAUUCAAUGCUUCUUCAAAGGAGCAUACGUAUGUCCAAAUUUCUGCUGAAGGGAUUUACGAUGGUGAAACGGGAGUUCUAUCUAUGGUGGGCUGCAAAUAUCUUGACUCAAACAACCAGAUAUUAGCAAAUGAUUCGAUGGACUGUGAGAUUCUUGUCAACGUCCAGUUGCCUCCAUUUGAUUCAAA
rnacentral:misc_RNA from 1 species